rnacentral:rRNA from 1 species
UACGUAGGGGGCAAGCGUUGUCCGGAAUCAUUGGGCGUAAAGAGCGUGUAGGCGGCCCGGUAAGUCCGCUGUGAAAGCCCCGGGCUCAACCUGGGAAUGGCGAUGGAUACUGGCUCGCUAGAGUGCGGUAGAGGAGAGUGGAAUUCCCGGUGUAGCAGUGAAAAUGCGCAGAUAUCGGGAGGAACACCAGCGGCGAAGGCGGACACUCUGGGCUGGU